GUUUUGAUGCUGAACCAUCCAGAAUGCAUACCCUAUGCUCUAACAAGUGACGACCGUGGGUUGGGUAUUUGGGUCUCCAGUCCUCACUCUCAAAAACCCCUAGCUACUACAUUUUCCAACAUUCAUCCAUUCAUCCCUAUUCCCCCCAAAAAAUCAAAAUAACCAAAAUCAAGAUGUCAGAGUAUGUACCGAUAGAGAUUCAGGCGAAAUCUUGAAAAGGCUUCCUUCAAAGCCGUUGAUCCAAUUCCGAUCAGUCUCAAAAUCAUGGAAGCGUUUGAUCGACAGCCCCAAUUUCAUGGUUUCAUACGCUGUUCGUCAUCCUCAGCCCGACCGUUUCAUUUUAAGGUAUGCUCUUCCUGAUUAUGAUCAUAUUGUUGAGGACCAAUAUUUGUUUUUUGUAGAUAAUGAUGAUGAAAAUGAUAAUGAUCAUAAUCAUAAUGGUUUUGUCCAACAAGAUAUUGUUCCUACCAUUCCUGACCUCAUUAAGAGAAUUGAAUCCAGUUCUAGUGUAUUUGGUAGUUCUCAUGGUUUGGUGUGCUUUGUCGGUGAUUACGAAUACCCUGAUAACGAUUCCUCUGAAUUUGAUGGAGAAAAAAUGGUUGUUGUUUGGAAUCCAUCGAUUGGGAAAUCUGUUGGUAUUCAAGUCCCAGAGAUGUAUUAUUCCCCGAAUGAAAACUAUCGGAUUGAUGAUGUUAUUGGUUUUGGGGUUUGUCCUGUCACUCUUGAUCCCACUAUUCUCAAGAUUGAAUGCAUUAAUUAUAGGAAGCAACUAAAUGGCGGUAUGCGUGGCACUGGUGUCCCUUGGAAAGUUCAAGUUUUUACUUUGAGCACUGGGACUUGGAGUAUUCUAUCUACCAAUCUUCCCCGCGAAUCGAUAGGUUUAUGUAAUGGUCUAUCUAGAGGGUGGUCUCAGGUCGUUAUCGAUAGGAUCAUUUAUUGGGUUGCUUUGGAUAUGCUUCUUGAUGCUGAAUCUUAAUCACAUUUUCUGAUCAUAUCUUUUGAUUUAAUUGCCAAAGAAUUUAAAGAGAUUAAUCUCCCAGAUAGUCUAACAAACGGGCUUUGUAGUAUUGAGACUAUAUCUAAGCUACGGGAGUGUCUUGUUUUGCUUGAAUUCCAUAGAGACUAUGGGACAAACCUAGAAGUUUGUUGUCUAUGGAUGAUGAAGGAGCAAGGGUUUAGUGAAUCGUUUACAAAGCUAUACACCUUCAACCUACCAGAUACCACAGUAAAUACAUUACUAGGAUGUAGGAAGACCGGCGAGCUUAUACUGGAGACAGGGUAUGCUGAUGUUGUAAUUUAUGAACCCAACUCAGAAACCAUUGAUAAUCUUGAGAUUGAUGGAGUCGAACAUACCUUCUCUAUGUGUUCUUAUAAGGACUCUCUGCUUUUGGUUGAUCAAUUAGAUGGUUAUAUAUAUAUCCGAUAAGUCACUAAUCACUAAUAGAUGAUCUCAUUAAAAUAUGCGGAUGGAUUUCCCCAGUGAUGUACUACAUCAGUGAGGGCUGCUUGUCAUUAGUUAAGGCAGAAUAAUUACUUACAUUUUGUGUAAGUGACUUCAUUAUUCUCUUCAAGUUUUAGACUUGGUUAGAAUUUUUUGUUUUGCAAAUGCUUGAAUUAUCAACACUCCAUAUGCUUAAAAUUUUAUGUGACAUCUAAAUGACAACUCUGAGUGUUUUUCAUUUUGUGUGUGGGAACAGUUAAUUUAAGCUUCUUUGCAUAUAGUUUUCUGAUUUGAACAUCUAAUUUAAGCUUCUUUGCAUAUAGUUUUCUGAUUUGAACAGUUAAUUUAAGCUUCUUUGCAUAUUAAAAUUACUUGAUGUAGCUUACAGUUUUGAGCCAAAGCAUUAUGGUUACAGAAAUUUCCACUAUACUUGUGAGCUAUAUAAACCUCGAUAGCAAAUAUGAGCAGCAGACCAGUAAGCUACUCUUUGAUCAAAAUACAUCGGAAGCACUAACCAGCAACCACAACCAUUAAAGAAGUUAAUGAGGAAAGGAAGUUUAUCAGAAGCAGAAUAUAUAUUCACAACUGGUUGUCGAUUAGUCAUUCGGACUAUAUAUGUCAAUGGGAUAUAGAUCAAAUGAAAAGGUACCUGAAAGAGAGAAGAGCGUAGCUCGUAAGCUAUAGGAAAAGCCUCUCAGUCUAUGACGGAGCCAUGAUGGCUAAAGGGGAAGCCUGUUAUGUACAGAACCAAGUGGUUUGUGGAAGUUGCAAAGAUUCCUUACGAGUUGUUGUAACCAUUUGACCCAUUUACAAAUUGUGUUUUGACCUAUUACAAUCUGAGAUUGUAGAGGUCCAACAUCUCCCUCCUCUCAGAAUCUAAGUUCUGCUGCUGCUGCUGCUGUAAUUACUCCUUUUCAAUGCUGAUUGCUGAUCACCACUUGUGUUACUUGCCCGGUUUUUAUCUUCUUUGUGUUCCAGACUUUGAACAUAUUCCUAGUCCUUGGAUAGUAAAUAAUAAUUUUAGCGUCGAUUAUUUUA